ACAAAGACACUAAUAGUUUCCUUUUUGCAGUGCAUGGUUUCUUUCUUUCUUUUUUCUUUUUUUUUUUAAAAAAAAAAAUCUUUGUCUUUCGUCGGUCUCAGGGAUCUCCAAAUCCAGACAAAGAAGGGUCUCUCACAUGUUCUUUGUUAAAAGUCCAUAACCUUUGAGUUACAUCAGAGUCACUACUCACUUCAUUUUCUUGAAAAUCACAGUACUGGUAGUUGCAACCCUGUAGCUUUGUCCUUCUACUCUCUUCUCCACUCUACAGUAAAAAAAAUUAUCGUUUUCUCUUUUUUUUAUCAGUAUUUUCCUUUGGAUACAAAAGAUCGUGCGAGAUAAAUUUGGAAGGUAGAAAAGCAUUGGUUUCUCUUCAAGUUGUGGUGUUAAAGUUCUGAGAAGAGCAUUUUUCAAGGUGGUAUAGUUUUUUGCAACAUUUUUCUCAGUUUUUGAUAUCACUCAGUCACUCACUGAUGGGUUUGGAAGUGUUUGGUUCUGUUCUAGUUCUGACACUCUUCUUGAAGCACUUGGCAUCUCAGCAACCAAACACUGAUGAUUUCUUUGUGUCAGAGUUCUUGAAGAAGAUGGAUUUAGCAUCCUCCCAGGUCUACAACUUUUCUUCAGCUUCUGUUGUUCAUGGCAUGGGGUUUCAUGUGAUGCCAAGAGAGAACAUGUUGUUGGGUUAGUCUUUUCUGGCAUGGGAAUUUCUGGUCCUGUUCCAGAUACUACCAUAGGAAAGCUCAGCAAGCUUCAAGCUUUGGACCUUAGCCACAACAAAAUCACGGACUUGCCUUCUGAUUUCUGGAGUUUUGGCUUGCUCAAGAGCCUUAACCUCUCCUCCAAUCAGAUUUCUGGUUCAUUGACUAACAACAUUGGAAACUUUGGUUUGCUACAAGUGUUUGACUUGUCCAGCAACAAUUUCUCUGGGCAAAUUCCUGAAGCUAUUAGUUCACUGAUGAGUCUGAAAGUCCUCAAACUUGACCACAACAGGUUCCAGCAAAGAAUACCUUCUGGGAUUCUCAAGUGUCACUCUCUAGUUUCCAUUGACCUUUCUUCAAAUCAACUAAGUGGGCAGUUCCAGAUGGUUUUGGUGAUGCUUUUCCUAAUCUCAUUUCCUUGAACCUUGCUGGGAAUAGUAUUAAUGGCAGUGAUUUAGAUGUUUCUGGGUUGAAGUCCAUUGUGAGUCUCAACAUAUCAGGCAAUUCCUUUAAUGGUUCUGUGAUGAGUAUGUUUCAUGGAAGGCUUGAGGUCAUGGACCUUAGCAGAAACCAAUUUGAAGGUCACAUUUCUCAGGUACACUCCAUCUCUAACUACAAUUGGUCUCAUUUAGUUUAUUUGGAUUUGUCAGAGAAUCAGCUGGUUGGGGAGAUUUUCCAAAAUUUGAAUGAAUCCAAGAAUCUAAAGCACCUUAAUCUUGCUCACAAUAGAUUUAGCAGACAGAAAUUCCCCAAGAUUGAAAUGCUCUCGAGAUUGGAAUAUCUGAACUUGUCCAAAACUAGUCUGAUUGGUUACAUUCCUGCUGAAAUCUCAAAACUUAGUAAUUUGAGUGCACUUGAUGUUUCUAUGAAUCAUCUUAUAGGGAAAAUCCCUUUACUAAGCAAUAAAAACCUCCAAGUUCUUGACCUUUCAAACAACAAUUUGAGUGGAGAUGUCCCUUCAUCAGUCAUAGAAAAACUUCCUUUAAUGGAGAAAUACAACUUCUCUUAUAAUAACUUAACCUUCUGUGCUUUGGAAAUCAAACCAGCUAUCCUCCUAACAGCAUUCCAUGGAUCAGUGAACAGUUGCCCAAUUGCUGCAAACCCAAGUCUUCUCAAAAAAGAGCCACUCAAGAUAAGGGAAUGAAGCUAGCUCUGGCGUUGACCCUCUCAAUGAUAUGCUUGGUUGCUGGGCUUUUGCUUCUAGCAUUUGGUUGCCUUAAGAAGACAAAACCAUGGCCUGUUAAGCAAACUUCAUACAAAGAAGAACACAACAUGUCAGGUCCAUUUUCAUUCCACACUGAUUCAACCACUUGGGUGGCUGACGUUAAGCAAGCGACAUCUGUCCCAGUAGUAAUCUUCGACAAGCCACUGUUAAAUAUUACAUUCGCAGAUCUAUUGGCUGCAACUUCAAAUUUUGAUAGGGGUACCCUUUUGGCUGAAGGAAAAUUUGGGCCUGUUUAUAGAGGUUUUCUACCUGGUGGUAUUCAAGUAGCAGUUAAAGUUCUGGUAGUUGGAUCUACUCUGACAGAUAAAGAAGCUGCAAGAGAGCUUGAGUAUCUUGGUAGAAUCAAGCACCCCAAUCUUGUUCCUCUAACUGGAUACUGUGUAGCUGGGGAUCAG